AAUAAAAUAAUAAAGUAAAAAUACAAUUAUUAAAUGAUUAAUACUCGUAAAUAAAUAUAUAAAUUAAUUAAUUAUUAUGCGUCGCCCGGAGUAUUAUGAUGUGUGUGUGUUGUACGACCGGUUUCGAAUUAAAAAUUCAUCAUCAGGUAAAUCACAAAGUCAAAAAGUAAAACGUGACUGAAUAUGAAAAAAUAAAUGAAGGAAGACAUAGAAAAAUAAAUUAUACAAAUCGGUUGUUUUACAUAGACAUAAUUUAUUUAAAUAGAAGAGGUUAU